rnacentral:lncRNA from 1 species
GUGAUUUGGCAAAAGGUGAAGUAGCCCUACGAGUUGGCAAUGGAGCAAAGGUUGCUGCUUUAGCCGUAUGAACUUAUGUAUUGACUUUACCUAGUGGUUUAAUAAUUCAGUUAGAGAAUUGUUAUUAUGUACCUGCAAUUAGCAGGAAUAUUAUUUUCGUUUCUUGUUUGGACAUGUUUGGUUUUUCAUUUAUAAUAAAGAACAAUUGUUG